rnacentral:tRNA from 1 species
GUCUUUGUAGUAUAGCUGUUACCUUGGUCUUGUAAACCAAAAACGGAGAACGUAAACUCUCCCCAAGACU